rnacentral:lncRNA from 1 species
AAUGUAUUUUAUGUUUCCCAAAAGCAUGUGAAAUAUGUGUAGCAUAUUAAAAAUGAGGACGCACUGCCCAUAUGAAUUUUCCUGGGGUGACAUUUCUUCUGCCACUGCACUGCUUGCAAACAAUAGUCUAUGCAAACAAUUUUAAUCUUGUGUAAAGGGGCGGUAUAGCAUAGUGGGUAAGUGUCUAGACUCACUCGUAGCUGGUAGGUUGUGGGUUCAAACACAGCUGUUGUACCUCGUGUGAAGCCCCUUUAUCCCAGUUGCUCCAGUCCACCAUCUCUCUAUCCAGGGGGCCAUAUGCUCUCUGAUCACUUCACACCUAGAAAACGGCAUAAGCUCUGAUGAGCCAUUGAGAGUGCCUCGAAUGGAAUUAUCCAUACAUCCUGCACCAGACUUCUUCCCACAGGUUGAAUUCAAAUAAAGUUCCAAAUUUAUUUAGAACAAAAAAAAAGAAAAGAUUUUUGUUUUUCCACCUGCACUGAAACAAGGUUUUUAAAACUCCUUGUUCAAUUGUGUGAUUUACAGCUCAGCAAACCUCAGACAAUGCAGCCACUUCUCCUCCCUUGUUAAACUCCACUGACAAGAACGUAACAGAGCUCCAUCCCAGGGGUACAGACCUUCGCCUCGCCCUCCCCCUGGCGGUGGCCCCGGUCCUGCUGGCGGUCACAGCUGCUGGAUACUUCAAAAUCCGGAGAAGGAGGGAUUCCAGAAAAGUGGGUGCUGCAGGGCCCCAGGAUUCAGUCAGAGCAUGUGAGGUACUGCAUGUCUUAUUUACCAGACUGACAUUUUUGGCGGUUACUCCUGACAAAGAGUUUUACUUCUUUAUUUUUGUCUUUUUGAUGCACGCAAUCUUUUCUCUCCCUCACUAUUUUGACCCCAGCUCAAAAUGGGCAACUCAGAUUUCAACAGACCUGCAGUGCACAUGCACAGGGUCUGGUGAUCGGCGAGUGUGCUCUGAGCUCAUCGGAUCCUCUUCACCACACAGUGAACUUGAUUAGUCAUGUUCUUCCAUGAAACAAGCAGUAAAGCAGAUAUGAAGAGACUGUUUCAGUCUAGUUACUUUCUCUUGCCCCAGAGCUUAACAUUUAAGAAGUCAAUCUUUGUGCAUUGUACAGAUUGCAAGUGGAACUGCUGCCGCUGACCUUGCAUGGUUACAGGACCAGCAAGUGAGCUGUAUGUGUGUGGAUGGAAAAAAAAUAACUAAUCACAAUCCAUGAAACUCAAACCACCAACAUUUUUAUGUCUCUUGCACAAGCAAAAGCUGAAUUCCACAGUCUUUGAGUUUUUCUUAAGGGCAGAAUUUGGCCUACACAUGUGGUUGCAUUUCUUAAGGAUAAACCAGCUUUUAAUUGUGGAUCUGACAGACAAAGAUCCACAUUAGACAGACAAAGAGAUGGCCCAGAUGUAGGAUUGCACUGCAUGUACCAUCCCAUGCGAAAGUUCGCUGUAGCAUUUCUGCCACGGUGCCAUUGUUUUAACACGAUCAUACCGGUUUAUUUUCCUCUACUGUGUCUUUUUUCCCUUUGUGUGGGAUGUGGUUUUACUCUAUUGUUCAAUGCUUUACCAUGCUUUGCAUCUGUUAACUCUGCCUGUAUACCAGCGCUUCUAGAGCUCUUGUGAUGAUGCAGUUUCUGGGCGGAAUGCUUUGCAGAUCCCUGGUGGAGGUGAGCCCGGCGUGAGGGAUCUCACCUACGCCGUUCUGACAUUUCACCCUCGCGUCUCCUCUGAAGAAGCCAGAUAUGCAAACGUCCAGCCGGGCCAGGGGCCGAAAGCCCCGGAGACAGUGGAAUACAGCUCAGUCUCCUUCCUGUCCACUGCAGGGCAAGGACAUCAGGAUGGGAAGUAGGAGAGAGUUACAGGGGCAUUCCUGGGUUUGUGGGUCAGCAAUGGAUCCAGGCAAAAGGGCUGGCAUCUUGCAUCUUAAAUGACAGCACCCACAAGAACACCAUAACCAUCUCGUGCCGGGUUGGAUCAGAGCUCCAUUACCUUAGAGGCAUCAGUGACAAAAGAGAGAUUAACAGAAAUAUUUAUUGCACUUAAAAUUAAUCAAUUAAAAUAAAUUGCCCAGUAAUAUCUUUUCUAGACGCAGGGUGUUAAUGCCUAUGUCUGCAACAGAACGUAUUGGAUCUGAAAGCACUCUGACAUGUUCAGCACACACAAUAAUUAAUCAUUUAGCAAAAACAGAUGACAGAAUCCAAAGGAAUAUCAGGACUGCUUACAAAACUUGUUUUUUCUCCAAAAAUGGACUAUACUUUCCAAGCUUGUUUUAAAUAAGUAAUAAAUCGUCUGCUUACUGGUUUGACCUGUUAAUCAUUUACAAUGGGUUUUGAGAAAACGAGGAAAAAAAGCCUUUGGAAAAUCACCCUGUUAAUAGUUGAACAAGCUUCUUCAUUACGCGUCUCAUAUCCGUAGCUAAGUUGAAUGCGCCCUCUUGUGGUGCCACAAGUGCAAAGGAAGUUAUAAGUUUCUAACUGCUGACGCAACUUAAAAUGUAAUAUCUCCGGCUGAGCAUUCACUACCGUGCUACAAAACAGAAACAUUUGUGUAACAUUAUGUACGUUAUAA